rnacentral:misc_RNA from 1 species
ACACCUCAACUCUUCAUGGUUUUCCAUGGAUGAGCUUGGAUUUUGGGGGUUUUGCUGGCCUAUGGUCGGCUCCUCUAAAAUGAAUCAGCUUGUCAGUGUUUGGUGGGCAUCACAGGUGUGAUAAGUAUCUACGCUUGUGGUUUUCCACCAGUUAACCUUCAGCAGUGGAGGUUCGCUGGAGCUCACAGAUGUCUCUCCUAAGCGAGGACAACCCUUUGAAU